GAUGAACGCUGGCGGCGUGCCUAAUACAUGCAAGUCGAGCGAACGGACGAGAAGCUUGCUUCUCUGAUGUUAGCGGCGGACGGGUGAGUAACACGUGGAUAACCUACCUAUAAGACUGGGAUAACUUCGGGAAACCGGAGCUAAUACCGGAUAAUAUUUUGAACCGCAUGGUUCAAAAGUGAAAGACGGUCUUGCUGUCACUUAUAGAUGGAUCCGCGCUGCAUUAGCUAGUUGGUAAGGUAACGGCUUACCAAGGCAACGAUGCAUAGCCGACCUGAGAGGGGGAUCGGCCACACUGGAACUGAGACAAGGUCCAGACUCCUACGGGAGGAAGCAGUAGGGAAUCUUCCGCAAUGGGCGAAAGCCUGACGGAGCAACGCCGCGUGAGUGAUGAAGGUCUUCGGAUCGUAAAACUCUGUUAUUAGGGAAGAACAUAUGUGUAAGUAACUGUGCACAUCUUGACGGUACCUAAUCAGAAAGCCACGGCUAACUACGUG
rnacentral:rRNA from 1 species